rnacentral:rRNA from 1 species
CCUACGGGUGGCAGCAGUGGGGGAUAUUGCACAAUGGGGGAAACCCUGAUGCAGCGACGCCGCGUGAGUGAAGAAGUAUUUCGGUAUCUAAAGCCUUAUCAGCAGGGAAGAAAAUGACAGUACCUGACCAAGAAGCCCCGGUUAACUACGUGCCAGCAGCCGCGGGAAAACGUGGGGGGCAAGCGUUAUCCGGAUUUACUGGGUGUAAAGGGGGCGUAGACGGGUUUGUAAGUCUGGCGGGAAAGCCCGGGGCCCAACCCCGGGAGUGCUUUGGAAACUGGGUAACUGGAGUACGGGAGGGGCAGGCGGAAUGCGUGGUGUAGCGGUGAAAUGCGUAGAUAUCAGGAGGAACACCGGCGGCGAAGGCGGCCUGCUGGACUGAAACUGACGUUGAGGCUCGAAAGCGUGGGGAGCGAACAGGAUUAGAUACCCCGGUAGUC